rnacentral:misc_RNA from 1 species
AACGCACAUUGCGCCCCUUGGUAUUCCGGGGGGCAUGCCUGUUCGAGCGUCAUUAUAACCAAUCCAGCCUGGCUGGGUCUUGGGCCUCGCGGUAUAGCGGGCCUUAAAAACAGUGGCGGUGCUCUCAUGCUCUACGCGUAGUAACUUUCUCGCUAUAGGGUCCUGGGAGAUGCUUGCCAACAACCCCCAAUUUUUUUAGGUUGACCUCGGAUCAGGUAGGGAUACCCGCUGAACUUAA